rnacentral:lncRNA from 1 species
AUUGGUAGAAUCCCAAAAUAAAUGGCUAAAAGGAGAAUUAAACGAUGUUGAUUAUUGCUUUUUCAUCGCCAAAGCGUACAGAGAGAAUAACGCCACUUUUACAUCUGAAAAACGUUGGAAAGGAAUUGGAAAAGGUUUUAAAAUGGGCAGUUUUGCCUUUAUACUUAUAUAUUAUAAAUCAAUGUAUUACUAAUAUCACAAUUUACUAUGUAUAAGAAUAUUACUGAAUAUAAUAUAUAAUUAAUACAUAUAUUGAAAAACUUUAUUAAAAAAAGGAAUAAUAAUAUCAAAACUAAUGUAUAUUACAGGGUGUAUUGAUCACGCCCAACUCUAGUUCUAAAUGGGAUAAGCGGUCGCUGUAAAUAUAAUCCGGUCUAAAAGUCCAAAAUCGAAUCCCACAGAGAACUAAGGCUUGGCUAUGGUUGUUUAAUAUCACUAAAAAAACAAGCUUGAACAAUUUUCUAAAUUAUAAAGAUUGAGAAUCAUAUUUCUAACUAAUUAACUAGCAAAUACUAGAAAGAGGUAAAAUUAUCAACUAACGAGAUAAAGAGAUGGAGACUAAAUUAAGGAGGUCUAGAGUUAUGAUUUUCCCAAUUGUCGGAGUCCUUCCAGCUAUGUUCCCUACAAUUUCACCGAUGUGUUCUCUACAAACCGUGAGCAUUUUAGGUGUCAUAUCUCUCUCGAGCAACUACAAUAAUUUACUGAACAUAUUCUCUCGUACUACGCUAGUUUGCUUUAUCUAACUGCUCACUAUGACCACGUCAACGCUCUGUUAUUUCUGAACCUACCUUUAAAGACACUGUAUUGAUUUCUCACAUACGUUAGGAUUGACGUUCUUCAACAACCACUUAAAUAUAUAUCCUUUCUCAAGCAACAUAUAAUAAAUAGGCACAGUCAAUCGAUGACCAUUUAAUCAACUGAAAUAAUUACGUAGUUGAACAAAUAGAUAAAUUCAAAGGCUAAAUUAUAUUAAAACAUAAACAAGAAUUCAUUCUACAAAAGGUUCUAUAAAAACUCUAGAUAACAAAUUAGUUAUU